CCUACGGGAGGCUGUAGUGGGGAAUAUUGCACAAUGGGGGAAACCCUGAUGCAGCGACGCCGCGUGAGUGAAGAAGUAAUUCGUUAUGUAAAGCUCUAUCAGCAGGGAAGAAAAUGACGUUACCUGAGUAAGAAGCCCCUGCUAACUACGUGCCAGCAGCCGCGGGAAUACGUAGGGGGCAAGCGUUAACCGGAAUUACUGGGUGUAAAGGGAGCGUAGAUGGCAGUGCGAGUCUGGAGUGAAAGGCGGGGGCUCAACCCCCGGACUGCUCUGGAAACUGUACGGCUGGAGUGCAGGAGAGGUAAGUGGAAUUCCUAGUGUAGCGGUGAAAUGCGUAGAUAUUAGGAGGAACACCAGUGGCGAAGGCGGCUUACUGGACUGUAACUGACGUUGAGGCUCGAAAGCGUGGGGAGCAAACAGGAUUAGAUACCCUGGUAGUC
rnacentral:rRNA from 1 species